UGCCGUUAAUAAAACUUUAUUUUCUAAAAGCAUUCAGAGCUGACAUAGAAUAGAGCUGACAUAGAAUUGAGAAUCUGACAUAGGAAUUAUUGAAAUUGUUUUGGAAUUAUUGAAAUUGCUUUCUAUCAUUUUAAAAGGCUAAAAUACUCUGUCUCUAUUUUUAAAAUAGCAUCAUGUGUUAUGCAAUAGUGUGAA
rnacentral:misc_RNA from 15 species